UACGUAGGGGGCGAGCGUUGUCCGGAUUUACUGGGCGUAAAGAGCGUGUAGGCGGCCAAACAGGUCCGUUGUGAAAACUGGAGGCUCAACCUCCAGACGUCGACGGAAACCGUGUGGCUAGAGUCCGGAAGAGGAGAGUGGAAUUCCUGGUGUAGCGGUGAAAUGCGCAGAUAUCAGGAAGAACACCAAUGGCGAAGGCAGCUCUCUGGGACGGUACUGACGCUGAGACGCGAAAGCGUGGGGAGCGAACAGG
rnacentral:rRNA from 1 species